rnacentral:rRNA from 1 species
UAUUUUGACUAUACAAAGGUAUUGUAAUAAGAUUUUAAUUGAAUGCUAAAAGAAUGGAAAUUUAGAAAAAAACUUUUUUGAAAUUAAAAAUUGAAUUUUUUUUAAUUUGUGCAGAAACAAUUAUUUAUAUUAAAGACAAGAAGACCCUAUGAAUUUAAAGAUUAAUUUAAUUAAUAUAAUUAACUGAAUUAAUCUUGAUUGGGGCGAUCAAAAAAUAUUAAUAACUUUUUUAAAUUAAAAUGAUCUAUUAUUAAUAAAAUAAUGAAAUAAAUA